GUUCUCAAAUGGGCAAAUUGAGGUGGCCCAGAAAGUGGAAACAGAUGAAGAAGACAACAGAGGAGUUGCCAAAGAAUUUGAGGAACUGAAACCUGAAGUUGAAUCUGUGAGAGAAAUUGUUGUUGAUGGGAAUUCUGAGUCUUUCAAAGAAACUCAUGAUGUGCUGAGUUCUGAUAGCAGCAACAGUCCAGAGGAAGAGGCGGAAGCUAAAGAUCAGAGUCUUUCAGCAAAGGAUUCAGGGACAUUAGAGGAGGAGGUGAAGAAAGAUGUUACUGACAUCAUAAUCGAGUCAGCUGAGUCUAUUGUGCCUUUGCCACAAGUACUCUCUUCGACUACAGAAACAUCAAUUGAGAAAUCACAGGAGCCUGAUGUGACUGAAGUGGAACAAAAAGAAAUUGAAGUGAAAAUCUUCCCGUCUUCGAAUGAGACCAAUGAGAAGACAACUCUGGAUGAGACUGAUGGAGGUGUAUCUGAAGUGGCGCCAGAUGGAUCUAAGGAAACAAGGCUGCCAUCUUCGGAUGAUAAACGUGAUUUAUCUGCAAUUGCAACAGAUACGGUGUCAGAUGGAGUUGAGGAAGCAAUAGUGAUAGCUUUGGAGGAGAACACUGGGGAGCCCUCUGCCUUUGUUGAUAAAGAAUCCGAGGAAAAUACUGAUGAUUCACUGAAGCCAUCAAACAAUGCUACUAUUGUUGGCAGUAGUGAUGGUUUCCCUGAGAGCAAAGGAAAUCCACAUGUUACAUCUCUUAGUCAGCGCACCCUGCAACGUACAUCUUGGAGGAGCUGCUGUGGCCUUUUUGAAGUUCUCCGGCGCUAAAUCGAUGAAUCAAGAUACUAUGCAUAAUUUCAUAAGAAGCUUGCAGAUCAUA
rnacentral:misc_RNA from 1 species